GAUUUCUCGGCUCCCACAUCGAUGAAGAACGCAGCAAAGCGCGAUAGGUAGUGUGAAUUGCAGAAUACCGUGAAUCAUCGAAUUUUUGAACGCAUAUUGCGCCCGGGUUUGAGCCUGGGCAUGUCUGCCUCAGCGUCGAUUUCCUCAUGGCAAUGCC
rnacentral:rRNA from 1 species